rnacentral:lncRNA from 1 species
UACGCCCCUUUCUCUUUAGCCUUCUGAAGUCUGGACUCUGGAACCUCAGGCUUCUAUAGGGAAGUGGAAGGGAGCUGACAUUAACUGUUCACUUACGGUAUGCCUGGCAUCUUGCCAAGCACCAUACGCUACUCAUAACACGGUGAAAUAAACAUUAUUAUCUCCAUUUUUUUUUUUCAAUACUAGGAAACUCAGGCUCUGAGAGAUAAAAGCAUCAUUUCCCAAAGUCAUGUGACUGGUAAGGGGAGCCUGAGUUCACGGACGCCACAGCCCCUGCUCUUACACAAGUGUCACCUGGAGAGGGACUCCCGAACGGGGCUGAGCACGUGAGCCGCUAAAACUGCGUGUGGGGGAGCUAGCUCCCCAUCUCAUCCCGUCACAUCGUGGAGGAAGGGGCGUCUGCAACAGGGGCCCUAAGGCUGGGGAAGGAGGAGAUGCCUUUUGCUUCUGGAGGACGGGUGCCAUGCUCAGAGGAAAGUAUCCUUGGGAACAGAGGUGGUGCUGUGCAGAGGCGAGCCUUCAGGGUUUCAAGUGCUUGGACCUCGCCCAGCUCUGGGUAAGUGGCCUGCAUAGCUGUGCUGGGGCAUCACCAGCAGCCAAAGAGGGAGGGGCUGUGGGGCUGGAGAGGCUCUUGCUUCCAACAUCCGCUCACCCUGAGAUUUCCUUUCUCUGCCUGUUCCUUUCCUUUUGCCUGGGCUCAGCCGGGUGCCGGGAAUUGAGAUGGUGUCAGGUGACAAGAGGCCACGUUCCCCGCAGCUGGCCUCCUCCUCAGGCUGUGAUGAAGGGGUCAGAAUACCUGCAACGGCCACACAACCACGAUGACCGCAGACUCCCCAGCAACCACAAUUGCAGCCACCACACCGUAGGGCCGUAUGACCAACAUCAGCAAUCGCUACGGUAA